rnacentral:rRNA from 1 species
AUAACAGAGGGGGACACGUAGCGCAUACCGCAUAAUACCUGACUGGGUCAGAGGGGCAAGUCGCCUGAGGAGGAGCUCCGCGUCCGAUUAGCUAGUUGGUGGGGUAAUGGCCCACCAAGGCGACGAUCGGUAUCUGGUCUGAGAGGGAUGAUCAGACACACUGGGACUGAGACACGGUCCAGACUCCUACGGGAGGCAGCAGUGGGGUAAUAUUGGGACACAUGGGGGCAAGCCUGAUGCAGCCACUGCCGCGUGGAGUGAUGAAGUGUCUUCGGUAUCUGUAAAGUCUACUUUCGGUCCGGGACGAUGAUGACGGUACCGCGCAGAAGUAGGCCC